rnacentral:rRNA from 1 species
AACGAACGCUGGCGGCAUGCCUAACACAUGCAAGUCGAACGGAAAGGCCGUGCUUUUUUGGGGUGCUCGAGUGGCGAACGGGUGAGUUACCCGUGAGUAACCUGCCCUUGACGUUGGGAUGACUUCAGACAACUGGGGCUAAUACCGGCUAGGAGCUCCUGCUGCAGGGUGGGCGUUGGAAAGUUUCGGCGGUUGGGGAUGGACUCGGGGCUUAUCAGCUUGUUGGUGGGGUAGUGGCAUACCAAGGCUUUGACGGGUAGCCGGCCUGGGAGGGGGACCGGCCACGUUGCGACUGAGAUACGACCCAGACUCGAACGGGAGGCAACGGUGGAGAGUAUUAUACAGUGGGCGGAAGCCUGAUGCGACAACGCCGCGUGCGGGAAGACGGCCAUGGGGUUGGGAAGCGCAGUCGCCUGUUACGGAGCGUGAGUGACGGUAAUGGGAGAAGAAGCACCGGCUAACUACGUG